AACGAACGCUGGCGGCAUGCCUAACACAUGCAAGUCGAACGAGACCUUCGGGUCUAGUGGCGCACGGGUGCGUAACGCGUGGGAACCUGCCCUUAGGUUCGGAAUAACUCCCCGAAAGGGGUGCUAAUACCGGAUAAUGUCUUCGGACCAAAGAUUUAUCGCCUUUGGAUGGGCCCGCGUUGGAUUAGCUGGUUGGUAGGGUAAAAGCCUACCAAGGCGACGAUCCAUAGCUGGUCUGAGAGGAUGAUCAGCCACACUGGGACUGAGACACGGCCCAGACUCCUACGGGAGGGAGCAGUGGGGAAUAUUGGACGAUGGGCGAAAGCCUAAUCCAGCAAUGCCGCGUGAGUGAUGAAGGCCUUAGGGUUGUAAAGCUCUUUUACCCGGGAUGAUAAUGACAGUACCGGGAGAAUAAGCACCGGCUAACUCCGUG
rnacentral:rRNA from 1 species